GUGGGGAAUAUUGGACAAUGGGGGGAACCCUGAUCCAGCCAUGCCGCGUGUGUGAAGAAGGCCUUUUGGUUGUAAAGCACUUUAAGCGAGGAGGAGGCUACCGAGAUUAAUACUCUUGGAUCGUGGACGUUACUCGCAGAAUAAGCACCGGCUAACUCUGUGCCAGCAGCCGCGGUAAUACAGAGGGUGCAAGCGUUAAUCGGAUUUACUGGGCGUAAAGCGAGCGUCGGUGGCCAAUUAAGUCAAAUGUGAAAUCCCCGAGCUUAACUUGGGAAUUGCAGUCGAUAAUGGUUGGCUAGAGUAUGGGAGAGGAUGGUAGAAUUCCAGGUGUGGCGGUGAAAUGCGUAGAGAUCUGGAGGAAUACCGAUGGCGAAGGCAGCCAUCUGGCCUAAUACUGACACUGAGGUGCGAAAGCAUGGGGAGCAAACAGGAUUAGAUACCCUGGUAGUCC
rnacentral:rRNA from 1 species